rnacentral:rRNA from 1 species
GAGCGCCGUAGCAAUACGGAGCGGCAGACGGGAGAGUAACACGUGGGAACGUGCCCUUCAGUUCGGAACAACCCAGGGAAACUUGGGCUAAUACCGGAUACGUCCGUAAGGAGAAAGAUUUAUCGCUGAAGGAUCGGCCCGCGUCUGAUUAGCUAGUUGGUGAGGUAACGGCUCACCAAGGCGACGAUCAGUAGCUGGUCUGAGAGGAUGAUCAGCCUCACUGGGACUGAGACACGGCCCAGACUCCUACGGGGGGCAGCAGUGAGGGAUCUUCGGCAAUGGGGGCAACCCUGACCGAGCAACGCCGCGUGCAGGACGGAGGCCUUCGGGUUGUAAACUGCUUUUCUCAGGGGCGAGAUACGGACGGUACCUGAGGAAGAAGUCUCGGCUAACUACGUG